UACAGAGGGUGCAAGCGUUGCUCGGAAUCAUUGGGCGUAAAGGGCAAGUAGGUGGUCUCGUUUGUCUGGGGUGAAAGCCUUGAGCUUAACUCAAGAAGUGCCUCAGAAACGGCGAGACUAGAGUACUGGAGAGGGUCGUGGAAUACCCGGUGUAGCGGUGAAAUGCGUAGAGAUCGGGUGGAACACCAGAGGCGAAGGCGGCGACCUGGACAGUAACUGACACUCAACUGCGAAAGCGUGGGGAGCAAACAGG
rnacentral:rRNA from 1 species